GAUGAACGCUGGCGGCGUGCCUAAUACAUGCAAGUCGAGCGAACGGACGAGAAGCUUGCUUCUCUGAUGUUAGCGGCGGACGGGUGAGUAACACGUGGAUAACCUACCUAUAAGACUGGGAUAACUUCGGGAAACCGGAGCUAAUACCGGAUGAUAUUUUGAACCGCAUGGUUCAAAAGUGCUAGACGGUCUUGCUGUCACUUAUAGAUGGAUCCGCGCUGCAUUAGCUAGUUGGUAAGGUAACGGCUUACCAAGGCAACGAUGCAUAGCCGACCUGAGAGGGUGAUCAGCCACACUGGAACUGAGACACGGUCCAGACUCCUACGGGAGGCAGCAGUAGGGAAUCUUCCGCAAUGGGCGAAAGCCUGACGGAGCAACGCCGCGUGAGUGAUGAAGGUCUUCGGAUCGUAAAACUCUGUUAUUAGGGAAGAACAUAUGUGUAAGUAACUGUGCACGUCUUGACGGUACCUAAUCAGAAAGCCACGGCUAACUACGUG
rnacentral:rRNA from 1 species